UUCAUGACAAACGGGAAAUUCGAUAAAAUUGGAACGAAAUAGAGAAGAUUGGCAAGGCCCCUGUGCAAGGAUGAAAUGCACAAAUUGAAAAUGAUCCAAACUUUU
rfam:Nicotiana sylvestris Nsyl_contig246335, whole genome shotgun sequence.